rnacentral:lncRNA from 1 species
UAACUAUAUUUCAAAGUUAUGGCUGGUUGUGUGGGUCUGUUAAACAGUUGUUGGCUAAUUUUCCAUAGCAAAAAAGAAUAAUGACCACCUCAUAAAUUGUGUUUCUGUAUGCAUUUUGAUUAACAGAGAUUAUUAUUGAUUUAAAAAGGGGAGUCUGAAAGGAUUAAACUCCAUUAAUAAAUAAAUACUGUCUGAAUGUUAACAGUUUUAAAUGUCACUAGCCUAACACUUCAUAAUACACAGAUCUAACAAGUAUUUUCCUCCAGGCAGAAGGUCUCCAUGAAAAGAGCUUUGAAUAUAGCAGUACAUUGAAGCACAACUAACGACUUGGCUGAUUGUUUUUCUCUAUGCCAACUCCAAGGCUGUGCUCCCAGUGCUCCAACCACAGGCAAAAGGCAGCAGCAGAAGGUCUUUACAUCCCUGUCUUAACGGGGAAAAAAAUGCAACCUCCAGUCCAGAAAGCAAAUAUCCAGAAGCCGCUCCAAGUCAUGACUUCAAAAGCGCGUAUCUUUUGCUAUCUGGAACCAGCUUCCACCAUGCCACAUAACCCCCUGGAAGAUUAGCCAACAUCGCUUUCAACUUACCACUUGCAGCUGCUUGGAACUCCACAUCGAUUCUCCGCAGAGUUGCAGCGCCUAACUGGACAGUGAACACAUGAAUCUCUGCCAGCACUGGAGUCUACGGCACCAUGAUUUGCAAACAUGUUGAAUUGCUAUUUUAUUCAAUAAAUGGGACGUACAAUAGAAAAUAGGUUUGGAA